GACAUAGGUGGCGAACGUUAUCCGGAAUUAUUGGGCGUAAAGGGUGCGUAGGCGGUUCCGCAAGUCCUGUGUGAAAUCUUCGGGCUCAACUCGAAGUCUGCACGGGAAACUGCGGGACUGGAGGGACCUAGAGGCCGGUGGAAUUCCCGGUGUAGUGGUGAAAUGCGUAGAGAUCGGGAGGAACACCUGUGGCGAAGGCGGCCGGCUGGGGGUGCCCUGACGCUGAGGCGCGAAAGCGUGGGGAGCGAACCGG
rnacentral:rRNA from 1 species